CGCCUGGGGAGUACGGCCGCAAGGUUAAAACUCAAAUGAAUUGACGGGGGCCCGCACAAGCGGUGGAGCAUGUGGUUUAAUUCGACGCAACGCGAAGAACCUUACCUGGCCUUGACAUCCAGAGAGCUUUCCAGAGAUGGAUUGGUGCCUUCGGGAACUCUGAGACAGGUGCUGCAUGGCCGUCGUCAGCUCGUGUCGUGAGAUGUUGGGUUAAGUCCCGUAACGAGCGCAACCCCUAUCCCUGGUUGCUAGCAGGUAAUGCUGAGAACUCCAGGGAGACUGCCGGUGACAAACCGGAGGAAGGUGGGGAUGACGUCAGGUCAUCAUGGCCCUUACGGCCAGGGCUACACACGUGCUACAAUGGCGCGUACAGAGGGCUGCCAACUCGCGAGAGUGAGCCAAUCCCUUAAAACGCGUCGUAGUCCGGAUCGGAGUCUGCAACCCGACUCCGUGAAGUCGGAAUCGCUAGUAAUCGCGAAUCAGAAUGUCGCGGUGAAUACGUUCCCGGGCCUUGUACACACCGCCCGUCACACCAUGGGAGUGGAUUGCACCAGAAGUAGUUAGUCUAACCUUCGGGAGGACGAUUACCACGGUGUGGUUCAUGACUGGGGUGAAGUCGUAACAAGGUAACCGUA
rnacentral:rRNA from 1 species